CUCAAGAGAUUGACAUUUCUACAUUACAAACAUUAGGCAAUUGGGAUCUUUCUCGAGCUUGGAAUAGACCUUUUACAAGCCAUCCAAAGAGAGUUCCAGACACUGGGGAAUUGGUUACAAUCGGAAUUGCCCCAACGAAGCCUUAUCUUGAAAUAGGAGUAAUUUCAGCUGAUGGAAAGAAUCUAGUUCAUAGAGCGGAUCUAAAGCUCAAUCGGUGUCCAAUUUGCCAUGACAUUGGAAUCAC